UGGAAGCUCCUAUUGGGUCAAAUGAGGUGUCAAUCGAAAGGUCAGAGUGCGUGCUUCCAUUUUGAUACCGGAUAUAGGAAAUGUUUACAUCUGAACUGAAGUUAUUACCGAUAAUAUGUGAAAGUUUAGGUACAGCUGCCAGGUGCUUUGAAAUGAUGCAACAAGAGUCUGUGGAUAUUUAUUGAUGUAAUAAUGUGAUUUGGACUAAACAUUUUACUUGAUUUGAUCAUUUGGACAUUUGACAAUGAAACAACACCGUUUUUGUCGGGAAGAUAUGGCUCAGUGGAGUACUAUGAGGCGUCAUAGGGAAUACAGGAGUGGGCUGAGAACACAGCCCUGCGGAGCUGCAGUGUUGAGGGUCAGUGAUGAGGAGAUGUUGCUGCCCAUUCUAACCACCUGACGUCUGCCUGACAGGAAGUCCAGGAUCCAGCUGCACAGCGAGCUGUUUAAGCCCAGAGCCCGGAGUUUCACAUCAAGCUUGGAGGGCACUAUAGUUUUGAAUGCUGAGCUGUAGUCUACAAACAGCAUUCUCACAUAUGUGUUCCUUUUUUCCAGGUGGGAGAGAGCAGUGUGUAGUGUAGAUGCAAUGGCAUCAUCAGUGGAGCGGUUGUUGCGGUAGGCAAACUGCAAUGGGUCCAGAGAGGCACAAUUGUGGACGUUUUGAAGCAUGUGGGGACUACAGAUAGGGAGAGGGACAGGUUGAAAAUAUCCGUAAAAACACCAGCCAGUUGGUUCGCGCACGCUCUGAUGACGCGGCCCGGAAUGCCGUAUGGACCCGCGGCUUUACGGAUGUUCACCCAUCGGAAGGAUCAGGUUACAUCCGCAACAGAGACGGAGAGUGAACAAACCUCUGUAGCGUCGGCCGCAAGUGCUCUAUCCACGAGGGCGGUGUUAUUGUCCUCGAAACGAGCAUAAAAUGUAUUAAGCUGGGUUUUUGGUCUGAUGGUUGCGCAGGGAGCACACCUUUUGCAUCCAUGUAACCGUAGUUUAAAAAAAUAUCUCACUCUAAUUUUGUAUAACAAUGUCUAACAGUGUAUGUACAUUUGACAGGAGAGAACAUCAGUGUCCUACAUCAAAACGUUUUGAAAAUUAUAAAAAAUAAAAAGCCUGGUAACAUUUUCCAAUUCUGUUUUAAAGUGUUAGUUCACACAAAAAUGAGAAUUCUCUUGUCAUCUAAAAUAUGUAUGACUUUCUUCAACUGAACACAAGCAAAGAAUUUUAGAAAAAUAUCUCUGCUCUGUAGGUCCAUACUGAAUGCAAUUGAAUGGGUACUAAGAUUUUGAAGCUCCAAAAAGUACAAAGGCAGCAUAAAAUUAAAAAGUCUCCAGUGAUUAAAUCCAUAUGUUCUGAAGCAAUAUGAUAAGCGUGGGUGAGAAACAGAUUAUUAAAAAACUAUAUUUAAGUCCUUUUUUACCAUAAAUCUCCACUUUCACUUUUGUUUUUGGUGAUUCACAUCCUUUGUGCAUAUUGCCACCUACUGGCAGGGAGAAGAAUUUGUAAUAAAAAAGAACUUCUGAAUAGAAU